GCUGGGCAUAGUGGUGCGUGCCUGUAGUCCCAGCUACUUGGGAGGCUAAGGUGGGAGGAUUGCUUGAGUUUAGGAGUUUGAGGCUGCAGUGAGCUAUAAUUGCCCCAUGGCACUCCAGCCUGGGCAACAGAGCAAGACCCUGUCUCUU
ensembl:misc_RNA Metazoa_SRP Metazoan signal recognition particle RNA